rnacentral:rRNA from 1 species
CCUACGGGGGGCAGCAGUGGGGAAUAUCGGACAAUGGGGGCAACCCUGAUCCAGCCAUGCCGCGUGUGUGAAGAAGGCCCUCGGGUUGUAAAGCACUUUCAGUGAGGAAGAACGCCUGGUGGUUAAUACCCAUCAGGAAAGACAUCACUCACAGAAGAAGCACCGGCUAACUCCGUGCCAGCAGCCGCGGUAAUACGGAGGGUGCGAGCGUUAAUCGGAAUUACUGGGCGUAAAGCGCGCGUAGGUGGCUUGAUAAGCCGGUUGUGAAAGCCCCGGGCUCAACCUGGGAACGGCAUCCGGAACUGUCAAGCUAGAGUGCAGGAGAGGAAGGUAGAAUUCCCGGUGUAGCGGUGAAAUGCGUAGAGAUCGGGAGGAAUACCAGUGGCGAAGGCGGCCUUCUGGACUGACACUGACACUGAGGUGCGAAAGCGUGGGUAGCAAACAGGAUUAGAUACCCUUGUAGUC